UGAUCUGCUGAGGGUGUGAGAUUCGGUGGC
rnacentral:piRNA from 1 species